ACAGAGGCUCAGGGAGGGAGAGCUACUUGCUCACAGCUAGGAAGUUACCAGGUUGGGAUUUGAACCAAGGUGGGUUUAGUCCCAAACAUGUGCUCUUGUCACUCUACCUCCUUCCAGCCAGAGAGGUAAGGGAGAGACCAAUAUCGCUGCUAAGAAGACACAGGCUUCCAGCACAACACUAUGAUGGAGCUUUUAUUUAGUCUUUGCCGCACUUAGGAUGAAUGAAGCAUGGAGCCCCCAAAGACCGAUCUGGAGAGAAGCUAUACUAGGCCAGUUUCGAGGAUGGAUCCUGCCUCAACCUAUGUCCUUCUGCAGGAGGUGGCUGAGGAACGCCAGAAACACUGAAAGUCACACCCAUUUCUCCCUUGAGUGAAGCUUACAGACAAAUUAGGGAAGAAGAACGCGUGAAAGAUUUGUUAGAAAAAUUAUAGUAAAAUACACAUAACAGGGCUUCCCUGGUGGUGCAGUGGUUAAGAAUCCGCCUGCCAAUGGAGGGGACACAGGUUCGAGCCCUGGUCCCGGAAGAUCCCACAUGCUGCGGAGCAACUAAGCCUGUGCGCCACAACUACUGAGCCUGCACCACAACUACUGAAGCCUGCGUGCCUAGAGCCCGUGCUCCGCAACAAGAGAAGCCACCACAAUGAGAAGCCCGCGCACCACAACGAAGAGUAGUCCCUGCUCGCCGCAACUAGAGAAAGCCUGUGCGCAGCAACGAAGACCCAGUGCAGCCAAAAAUAAAUAAAAUAAAAUAAAUAAAUUUAUUUUAAAAAUACACAUAUA